rnacentral:rRNA from 1 species
UACGUAGGCAGCGAGCGUUGUUCGGAAUUACUGGGCGUAAAGAGUGUGUAGGCGGUGCUCUAAGUUUGGUGUGAAAUCUCCUGGCUCAACUGGGAGGGUGCGCCGGAAACUGGAGUGCUUGAGCGUGGGAGAGGAAAGCGGAAUUCCUGGUGUAGCGGUGAAAUGCGUAGAUAUCAGGAGGAACACCUGUGGUGUAGACGGCUUUCUGGACCAUAGCUGACGCUGAGACACGAAAGCGUGGGUAGCAAACAGG